rnacentral:rRNA from 1 species
AUUGAACGCUGGCGGCAGGCCUAACACAUGCAAGUCGAGCGGAGCGGCGGACGGGUGAGUAAUGCCUAGGAAUCUGCCUGGUAGUGGGGGAUAACGUCCGGAAACGGGCGCUAAUACCGAAUACUCUCAGCUUAGCCUGGGUCGGAUUAGGUAGUUGGUGGGGUAACGGCAGACCAAGGCGACGAUCCGUAACUGGUCUGAGAGGAUGAUCAGUCACACUGGAACUGAGACACGGUCCAGACUCUUACGGGAGGUAGCAGUGGGGAAUAUUGCACAAUGGGCGAAAGCCUGAUCCAGCCAUGCCGCGUGUGUGAAGAAGGUCUUCGGGUUGUAAAGCACUUUAAGUUGGGAGGCGUUACCAACAGAAUAAGCACCGGCUAACUUCGUGCCAGCAGCCGCGGUAAUUC